ACUUAGAAAGAAAUAAAGCCAAGUUGAAGAGCUUCACCAUGAAGCUCACGGCCAAGGGUGGAGAAAAACCAACUCCACUUCAAGCCUUCUAAAAAUUAAUUCUUUGGUUCAAACCCACUAUAUUGAGGUCCCUAAGUGGCGUGGAAGUAUCGUUUGGGUCAUCCAACCAUUUAUUUUGCCCAUUUGCAAACCCUAGCCUAUUGGGGGAUUGAAGAAGAAAGACCUUGGGGAGCCCGAGGCGUAGAUUGGAUAUUUAUUUUAGAUUGGCCAUCUUGGAGUGCGUACGAGGUACAGACGCACAGUUUGGUGAUUCACCAGUUUAGGACAUCCCCUUCUGCUGUUUGGAGUGCUCUUCUCAUUUCAGAGCAUAUAUGUUGGUAUAUAUAUUUGUUCGCCGAGUAUGUAUAUAUAUUUGUUCAGGGAUACGGCGGGGCCCUGUCCCGCCAUAUGAUUCGGUUUGUCUGUUUAGAGGUCUGUAGACGUAGCUGUGGGUGUGUGUGCCUACUUCUGUUCCAAUGUGUUUGUAUGAUGCUAUUCGUUAUGGCAGCCUUGUCGGCGUGCAUUUGUAUCUGUGUUUUGGGCCGUUGUGCCAAUUGAUAGCCUUGUCGGCUUUUGACAUAUUUGACAGCCUUGUCGGUUUUUGACAUAUUUGAUAGCCUUGCCGGCUUUUUGAGAUAUGUGCAUAUGUUCGGCGAUGUAUAUUCCGCCGCCUCUUUUGAUUCUGAUAUGAUGUUUUGUACGCGCAAUCGCGCAAGAUAAUAUUUGUUCCCAACUCUGU